CAAUGCGCAACUUGUUUCACAAGAAGCCGAAGAUGUCUCGUCCGGGAUGCUGUGCCAACCUUAUCUGCAGCAGGAGAUUGCAGGGGCAGGACUAGGCAGCAGAUAAAGGCAUGCUGGCACCACCGAAAAGCUUGCACUCCACGUCUCAACUAUCACCGUCUGGGUUUCAAGCUGAAGGCUGUCACCAGUGCCAACCAGACGCCCCUUCAAAGUUCAUCUGUUUUUGUUGACGGAACAGUGACACCUGGUAAACCUGUCACGCAGAUGCCCUACCCCUUGGUAUGCAUAGUUUAAGAUUGUACCGAAACAAUCCACCUGGAGCAUUAUUCUUCAAUUGGCAGUGGCAUUACUAUCACAACACACCACAUACUGCAUGUGUAUGGUGCAUGUACAAUGCAUCAAACUUAUUCUCAGGUACAGGCCAGCUGGUACGCAAUUACAACAUGAAACAACUGACACAGAGACCGUAAAGUCAUGCCUUUUCCUCCGCGCCUCGGGUUUCAUGUUAUUAUCCUCACAUGCAGCUCAAUUCGCCUGUGCUGUGCAGCAUGAGCAAAAGC